GACGAACGCUGGCGGCGUGCUUAACACAUGCAAGUCGAACGGAAAGGCCCUGCUUUUGUGGGGUGCUCGAGUGGCGAACGGGUGAGUAACACGUGAGUAACCUGCCCUUGACUUUGGGAUAACUUCAGGAAACUGGGGCUAAUACCGGAUAGGAGCUCCUGCUGCAUGGUGGGGGUUGGAAAGUUUCGGCGGUUGGGGAUGGACUCGCGGCUUAUCAGCUUGUUGGUGGGGUAGUGGCUUACCAAGGCUUUGACGGGUAGCCGGCCUGAGAGGGUGACCGGCCACAUUGGGACGGGAAUACGGCCCAGACUCCUACGGGAGGCAGCAGUGGGGAAUAUUGCACAAUGGGCGGAAGCCUGAUGCAGCAACGCCGCGUGCGGGAUGACGGCCUUCGGGUUGUAAACCGCUUUCGCCUGUGACGAAGCGUGAGUGACGGUAAUGGGUAAAGAAGCACCGGCUAACUACGUG
rnacentral:rRNA from 1 species